rnacentral:rRNA from 1 species
ACUCCUACGGGAGGCAGCAGUGGGGAAUAUUGCACAAUGGGCGCAAGCCUGAUGCAGCCAUGCCGCGUGUGUGAAGAAGGCCUUCGGGUUGUAAAGCACUUUCAGUCGUGAGGAAGGCGGGUACGUUAAUAGCGUAUUCGUUUGACGUUAGCGACAGAAGAAGCACCGGCUAACUCCGUGCCAGCAGCCGCGGUAAUACGGAGGGUGCGAGCGUUAAUCGGAAUUACUGGGCGUAAAGCGCAUGCAGGUGGUUUGUUAAGUCAGAUGUGAAAGCCCGGGGCUCAACCUCGGAAUAGCAUUUGAAACUGGCAGACUAGAGUACUGUAGAGGGGGUAGAAUUUCAGGUGUAGCGGUGAAAUGCGUAGAGAUCUGAAGGAAUACCGGUGGCGAAGGCGGCCCCUGGACAGAUACUGACACUCAGAUGCGAAAGCGUGGGAGCAAACAGGAUUAGAUACCCCGUGGUAGGACAGUG